UUUUCCAGAUGACACACAGGCUGCUCUUACCAAACACUUGCUGAAGUCAGUGUGUACUGAUAUCACUAACCUCAUUUUCAACUUCUUAGCUUCGGAUUUAAUGAUGGCAGUAGAUGAUCCUGCAGCCAUUACAAGUGAAAUAAGAAAAAAAAUUUUAAGUAAAUUAUCAGAAGAAACCAAAGUAGCUCUUACAAAACUCCAUAACUCUCUGAAUGAAAAGAGCAUAGAAGACUUUAUUUCUUGUCUGGAUUCUGCAGCAGAAGCUUGUGAUAUUAUGGUGAAAAGGGGAGACAAAAAAAGGGAAAGACAGAUACUGUUCCAACAUCGACAAGCACUGGCUGAACAGCUAAAGGUCACAGAAGACCCUGCUCUUAUUCUGCACCUCACAUCAGUCCUGUUGUUUCAGUUUUCAACCCACAGCAUGCUCCAUGCACCUGGAAGAUGUGUCCCACAGAUCAUUGCUUUUCUUAAUAGUAAAAUUCCAGAGGAUCAGCAUGCUCUUUUGGUAAAGUAUCAAGGUUUGGUUGUAAAGCAGCUAGUCAGUCAAAGUAAGAAGACUGGGCAGGGAGAUUAUCCCUUGAAUAAUGAAUUAGACAAAGAACAAGAAGAUGUUGCCAGUACUACUCGUAAAGAGCUUCAAGAACUUUCUUCAUCCAUUAAAGACCUUGUUCUCAAAUCUAGGAAAUCAUCUGUGACGGAAGAGUAAUGAUCUUAAUUUACAUUUGUCAUAUAGUAAGCAUUUUCCCCCAAGGUUGAAGGUGAGUGGUCACAAAAAAGUAGUCACUAUACAACUCCCCUCUCCCUGCAAAAACCACCUCAUACACACACAAUUCAGUUAAAACAGUAGUAUUGUAUUAAAUGUAAAUCUUAAAAAGAUGUGAAUUUUUGUAAAUUGGGUUCUUCAUAGAAGUUUUUU
rnacentral:lncRNA from 1 species